AACGAACGUUGGCGGCGUGGAUUAGGCAUGCAAGUCGGGGGGAAUCGCUCGAAAGGGCGGGGAACCGGCGUAAGGGGCAGUAAGGCGUGGGUACCUACCCCGGGGUUCGGGAUAGCCGUCCGAGAGGGCGGGUAAUACCGGAUGAUCUCGGGAGAGCAAAGACUAGUCGCCCUGGGGCGGGGCCCACGUGAUAUUAGCUAGUUGGUGAGGUGACGGCUCACCAAGGCGGAGAUGUCUAGCGGGUGUGAGAGCACGACCCGCGCCACUCGCACUGAGACACUGGCGAGACACCUACGGGUGGCUGCAGUCGAGGAUCUUCGGCAAUGGGGGCGAACCCUGACCGAGCGACGCCGCGUGUGCGACGAAGGCCUUCGGUUGUUAAGUACACU
rnacentral:rRNA from 1 species